rnacentral:rRNA from 1 species
CCUACGGGUGGCAGCAGUAGGGAAUCUUCCACAAUGGACGAAAGUCUGAUGGAGCAACGCCGCGUGAGUGAAGAAGGGUGUCGGCUCGUAAAGCUCUGUUGGGAGGGAAGAAAGAUAGAGGGAGUAACUGGCCUUUAUUGGACGGUAAUUACUGAGAAAGUCACGGCUAACUACGUGCCAGAAGCCGCGGUAAUACGUAGGGGGCAAGCGUUGUCCUGAUUUAUUGGGCGUAAAGCGAGUGCAGGCGGUUCAAUAAGUCUGAUGUGAAAGCCUUCGGCUCAACCGGAGAAUUGCAUCAGAAACUGUUGAACUUGAGUGCAGAAGAGGCGAGUGGAACUCCCUGUGUAGCGGUGCAAUGCGUAGAUAUAUGGCAGAACACCAGUGGCGAAGGCGGCUCUCUGGUCUGCAACUGACGCUGAGGCUCGACAGCCUGGGUAGCGAACAGGAUUAGCUACCCUGGUAGUC